GAAGGAGAUCCUCAGCUGUGAGGGGAGACUGUUGGCCUUGGAGGAAGAGCACAAAGGUACUAAGCCUGACAAAAAUUCAUUUGUUGUUCAAAGAGUUGCCCAUCAGAGUAUGACUGAUUCACCAGUGAGGAUGCAGAACCCUCUCAUGGGACAUGAGAAAAAAAGCUCCUGAUUUUAAAUAUCCAGCACCUCUCUUCCGUGCACAACAGUAGGAUGUCACGUUUAGCAGUGGAUUGUGAAAUGCUUGAAAACUGGAAUCAUAGGAGCAUUAUUUAAUGCCAAGUGUUAUCCGCAUCAUAUCUGAAGCUGGAACAUGCCAGGAAAACAUCCUUCACAGUCUGCAACUAAUAUAUCCAGGCUUUCAGGAUCAAUCAUGAAUUGGCUGAAUUGUAAGUGCUGGAGCUAAAAUUGAGUCAAUAAAGUGCCCCCUUGAGUGGGCAGAACGAAGUCACAGCUCCCUUGAGCAUGUGAUGAGCAGGGACCGCCUCGUGCUGUAGACAGGGCGGGGAUGGAGGAAUCCCGCAUCCUGCGGCAGCACCCUCCCUGCUAUGCCGUGGCUUGUCGCAAAAUGGGUCUUGUGCUGCUCCAAAUAUAAGAAUCAUGAAGCCUGGAUUAUUCAAACAAAUUCUGGGGCAGUCUUCUGACUUUUAAAUGCUUCCUGGAAUGACUUUGUGAAAAAUGAGCAGCCAAGCAGAGGAACAGAGGAAUAAAGAAAAUGAAGGGAGACACGAAGUAUCAGCUGCAAAAGGAUCUUCUAGCUCGUGUCACCUGCAGCGGCUCCUACCCUGGGUGGACCGUGCCUCUGGGCAGGAACUGAGAGGUUGUGUAACGGAGGCGAGCUCUGCCAGGUCCUUUCUCCUGACGCAUCCCAGACCACACUAUGGCCUCUGCAUCUGAGGGAGAGAAGCAGCAGGGGCACGCCAUGAUGUUACCGCAGUGCUAUUCCCCACUGGGCUGCAAGAGCCAACUGUGACUUACCCAAAUGAUCUGCAGUGGAGUCAGCUCACGAGCGUACGAGCCCACAGAGUGCUUCUCCACCCUGUUUUGGUCCAAGUUCCUCAGCCGGUAUCUCUGCACCGCGUUUUGCUCUUCAUACACACAAGCUGUCCUAAGGUUAAUAUAGUCCCGUGGACAAUGCAACAAUUUCCAUGAAAAAUUCUUACAGUGGUGAAAGGCUUCACUUUUUUGGAGGGAAAAAAGAUUGUAAAUGAAUACAGUCUUUUUACAGACUUAUCAGAAAUGAGUAUGCAUUUCCCAGAGUCGGGGGAAGCAACCUUCUUCUUCCUCUAUGAAGAAAAUAGAAAGUUUUUUAAAAGCUAAAUUUUAAUAGCUGUCGAUGUCACAGGUCAGUACAGCUGGGAUCCAACACCAGGUCUGAGACUGUCAGAAAAAUCUCAGUUGUCUCCUGGAUAACUGGACACGACUGUUCCCCCACCCUGAUAAUGGAUCAAAAGGAACCAGAAGCAAAGGAUACUAGUGCCAGUGUUCAUUUUCUGUUCAAGUGGACGCAUGCUUCUGCAAAACCUCCUUCAUGUGACUGAUCACAAGCCACCCAAGCGACAACAAGAAGCAUUAGCUGAACCUUAAACAACCUCACCCUGGUGGGUGCUGCUGAACUGAGAGAAUAACACAGAUGGGAAAGUUUACAUUGGGAUCUGACACUCGCUCCAAGCUGAAGUUAAGAAGGAGACGGGGUUGGACAUUGCCUUUCACAUCAGAGCGGUUACUACACAAACUCACCUUCCCACUCAGCAUCAGCCUCCAGAAUAUGUCCUCUGACAUAGCCCAUUUGUAAGUUGACAUGCCUGAAGAUUUGCCAGUUACAUUAUUCCUGCAGGAAACACACAGAAGAAUAAGAGCCAGGAUUAGGCCUGCGAUGAGAAAAGCUGCAGGAUGACUAACUGAAAGGGCUGAUCCAUCACACACCAGAUACCACUUUCGUCCCAGCAGAUAUUAGGGUCCUUGGACAGAGUGUGAUUUCGCAUUCAUUGUUACAACAGUCAUUAUUCCAAAGGAGCUCACGGUUUGGCACUGAAUGAUGAUGAUAAUAGAUAUUGAAUUGCCUGAUAUCUGACAACGUCAUGUAUUCCAGGGAAGAGGUGACCACAUGGAUCUAGCAGAGUUUCCUCCUGGUGAUACCUCUGAGAUGAAGCAACUGGCAGAAGGCAUCACCAUCAUUCCAAGAAAUCUCAUUUCUCUGCAACUGGAGAUUUAGGAAAUUAAUCUGGUUUGCCCUGAUUUACACCAGAAUAAACUCACACGUUGGAAACUGGGCAUGGCAAGUAAUCGCUGGCACUGCAGGGGACUUCUUCAGAAAUAAUGAUUGCAAUGGGAGACCUUGGACUAAACACCAUAUUUGUUCCUGCAAUAAUGGAGCCUGAGGUACCUGAAGGCCUUUGUAAGCUAGGCAGGGGUCAGCCGCACUUUGUUUUAGCCCUGAGACUGAGGGAGCGCAAUCCAUCUUAAAAUCACGUUAUUAACCCUUGUGAUUUCAUCCUGGAGCACGUGUACUUCAUAAAGUCUGCAAUUACAAGGUCAGUCCUGAUUUGCAUCACCAUGAAAGGAGAACCAGUCCUGAAUAAGUAUCUCAUUGGACAAAUACUGUUUUGCUUAUUUUUGUUAUUAGAGAUAAGUCAGGGAGAGAAAAAAUGCAGAAGGAGGGGGUCAAAAUACCCUGAGGCUAAAUCAAAACUGGAGCCAAUCCAUAUUAAAAACUUGAGUGUGCCUAAAGUUAGCACAUGCAAAUCUACUCUUCUAGAUACAUAAACUCAAAUCCUUAAAGACACAUCAUAGCCUAACUCUCACUCGGGUGCUUAACUCCCAUUGAUAACACCAUGUGCUAAUUCAGGCACGCGGGUUUCCCUGUAAUGUUCUUUCUAUGAAGAACAGUUGGUCUUGAGGGAAAACAUUUACAUAGAUGACAACUAUUUUCAGGAAAAUGAAAAGUACUUGGUGAAAAAGGAGGUUUUGACAUUGUGUGAAAUAUGGGUUUACACACAGUAGUUUUUGCUGUGUGUAUAUAAAUGGGUGAUUUACCAUGUAUUGAUUUGCACACCAUUUGUAAGUGUCUAAUUUAUUUAUUUAUAGAGACGUAUGGAAACCAUGGUUUGAAAAAGCAGUUUGCAUAACAUCUGGUAUGUCAACAAUGUAACCUUUCAAUUUACUUGUUGGUGAAAAAGUCAAUAUAAUGAACCUGAACUCAGCAUUGGUUUACACAAAUUUCCUGGCAGACAAAGCAGUAAUGAUUUGCAUGUCAGUGUAAGUGACAUGUGCCCUCCAGUUUUGAGUAGUUUACACAGCUAAGAGGUAUAAAAAGGGUAGAGCACGUUGCUGGUUCCUUACAUACUUGUGCUGGCAGUACAAAUUACAUGUAUUUACAUGGUGUGAAACAUUUCAUGUAAUUUUGACUUCCAAUUUUUCAAAAGCAGCCUUUGAUUUUUUCACUGAAAACACUUCUUUUAUAAAUAUAUACAUGGGAAAAAAGAUAAGAGAAAAAUUGUAGACGUGAGGGUGACUUUAGAUCCUGGUAGCAUGUAAUCCAUGAGUCUUCCCUGGGUGCACUUGUUUUAAUUAGUUUUACAAUUUAUGUGUUUUCUACAGACAAAGAUAACGUACUGGGAUGUGAUAGAGGAAUCUAGUGGAUUCCUGAUUGCUCUUAAUAAUAUGCCAACAGGAAUGACGACAACAAUGUAUUGUUUAUACCUUUAUAUUACUGCCUGUACAAGACAGGUCACAUAAAUCACAUCGCUUUUGUUUCCACUCUGUGACUCAUUGCCUGACACUUUUGAAGUAGGAAAGUGGUAAAUGCUGUUGAUACUGAAUAGCAAAGAACCUCACUUAAAUGUAGAACCAAAGUCCGUUGAUGGCAUCACAUGUUCCCUCUUGAUUUUAGGGAGUUUAGGCCAGCGGAAGGAAGUCGUUGGCCAGUUCCUCUCACCAAACUAUCUGUGUGAAAAGGCAGGAGACCUUGUCUUAGAAAAGCGCCUCCGAACACAUCAGUCAGCCUUGACUUUGAGUACGUGAUGUGACAGAGGCGACGGGCUGAGAGGGCCGCACGGUGCCGGCAGGCACGGCCCGGCUCAGUGCGCGGGGCAGCUUCGCCUCCCCAGCCGCUUGCGUUCGCGGGGGAAGGGCACGGGGCGGACAGGACAGGUGGUCUCCUGCCUCCGCUCUGCCUCCCUCUCCUCUCCUGGCUCCCCACCCCAAAGAUCUGCUUCGUGGUUUGGAUUUCAAUCAAGUUACCAGAAAAAGGUGGAGGAGGGAAGGAGGCAGUUACUUAACCACUUUGCAUGUGAUUUUCUUUUUUUCUUUAAAGACCCAGCUGUUCUCUGUUUCCCAUUGUUCUGCCCACACUAUCCGGUUUGGAUCUGAUUUGGGUGGUGUAUGUCUGUAUGUGUGAGGGGAAGAGUUACAGGGAAAGCUUUGUGCAUCUGUUAUUAUCUGAUAGCUUUAAAAAAUUAAAAUUCUAUACUACCCCACACUAGUAGCUAAGAAAAGGAAAUUUCACCAGGUUUUCUGGAGCUUUCAUUUUUUAUGGAAGAUUUCUAAUAUCUAGGCUGAGUACACAGACUGAACCAAUGCCAACCAUUUAUAAGAGCUUCUAAGGUUUUUUAAUCAUUCUAUUCCACUUGCUUCAUAUAUUUUCUAUUUGUCUAUCGUUAAUAUUUCCUUUAUACAGUUAAAAAGAUGUUGCCAGAUGAUAUUUUCCUUUUAAUCCAGUUGGUCAAACUCCAUCACAGGAGUCUGGACCACAUCCAGUGGCCCUGGGUGAAGUGUAUGCCCCAGUCCUCUGCAGUUCCUGGGAGGCAGAAGGUGCUGGAGCAGAGCUCCCCCACCUCUCCCUCAAACCCGGUUUCCACUUAAGGGAAAUACAGGCCAGAAAGGAUCUGCCAUGACGUCCGACAGGUAUCCUGACUGGGAUGCCCAGCAUGCAAGACCUGAAGUGGAGCACUUUCUCCCUGCAGUCUAGGUAGAUCCUGACAUCCUCCCAGGUCUCCCAGCAUUUGGGGAUCUGCUUUUUUAAUAAUUUCUUCAAAAGUCACAUUAACCCUUUACCCGACAUUUGUUAUUGUAACUCAAUUUAAGCAAAAUUUUUUAUUAAUACAUGACAUGCUUUAAGCAAAUGCUUUUUUAGCCUGGGUCUUUUAAAUCCAGUCUUAUGUGGCAGAUAAGAUGCACCUGAAACUGCAUAAGGAAGCGCCUUUAUAAAGAUUAUGGGGGAAAGAAGGAAACACUGGAGAUUAUUGGGCAAGGCAAGG